GGGAGGGUCCUGGUCCUCGAGAAAAAAAGUGUAUAAACUGUGUUAUGGACUAGUAGGUGCACUCCUGCUUGUGGGAUGCCCGCCAUUGCAAUCGUGAAUAAAUUACUACUUUACUGAGAUCCUUGCCUGUGCUUAUGUUAUUGGGUACAGAGUGUUUCUCACACUUUUGUUAGCUUGAAGUAUAACUUAUUAACAAAUAACUUCUGUUAAUUUGAAGCAUAGUAGUCAAAAAGGUGUUUCAUGACAUUAAAGUGUUUUGAUUUAGUUUCCAGCACUGUGAGCCUUCUGCUACUCUAUGUCAGUCACAGGUGCCAGAAUUGAGGUCCUGGCUAAGAAGACCCAGUGGGAGAAGCAAACCAGGAUUCAGCAGCCAUCAGAAGUAAAGAGGCUGCUCAGGUUGCAUCAGCUGUGCAGUGCCUGAAAAUGAAGCAGGCUGGUGGGCAGCUUCCCGAGCUGACAGCGUGACUCAUUGUGUUUGUGCAUCCUCGACAUCGGAGCAGACAGGAAUCGCAAUGGGAAGCGGGUUGUAGGCAGGAGUGAGUCAAAAAGAGCGCCUCCCUCCCUUGGUCUAAACACGCAGGGACAGUUCAAAACUUGUCUCAGCUAGAAGUUUGCCCUACUGCAGGAAUUCUUGUUUCGAAUGAAAGAAGCACUUAUUUAAUUUAGGGGAGGGAUGAUUACUUAAAGCAAUAUAUAAAAACAUACUUGAUCCUCUGACUAACUUCACAGUUACUCUAAUGUUGUCUUGCAAGGCUUAGGCCUAAGUCCUUUCUAUCAUCAUUUUAAAGCUAGUUUAAUAUUUAUGGAUCAUAAGAACGGAUUUGGAGGAUUAAAUGUGCUAUCAGGUUCUGCCUGCAAAACUAGCUGGCUGACAUGUUUUGACAGAUAAACACCCUGUCUAUACACAAAAUCUCUUAUAUUGUUAUAUUUAGAAAAAAUGUAUUCCAGUUCUGUACCACGACAAACGUAGAAUUCACAACACCUGAUAUCUAUGCAGUGGAAAUCUGUACAUUCAGCCUAGGUGGAUCUUUUCCAAGCUUGAAGGUAGUUAUGAGCCUGAACAGCUCUUAAGUGGAGAAGCACAUUGGCAAGAGAGACAGAGAUUUCAGGAAGGACAUCAAGCAAAGUGAAGACAGGAAGCCGAAUCCUAAAAAAAUACUAUUAAAUAAAGGAAGAUAGAUAUUUUCA
rnacentral:lncRNA from 1 species